rnacentral:rRNA from 1 species
UCAGGAUGAACGCUAGCUACAGGCUUAACAACAUGCAAGUCGAGGGGAAACGNUAUUGGAAGCUUGCUUCUGAUAGGCGUCGACCGGCGCACGGGUGAGUAACGCGUAUCCAACCUGCCCAUCACUUGGGGGAUAACCUUGCGAAAGUAAGACUAAUACCCAAUGACGUCUCUAGAAGACAUCUGAAAGAGAUUAAAGAUUUAUCGGUGAUGGAUGGGGAUGCGUCUGAUUAGCUUGUUGGCGGGGUAACGGCCACCAAGGCGACGAUCAGUAGGGGUUCUGAGAGGAAGGCCCCCCACAUUGGAACUGAGACACGGUCCAAACUCCUACGGGAGGCAGCAGUGAGGAAUAUUGGUCAAUGGACGAGAGUCUGAACCAGCCAAGUAGCGUGCAGGAUGACGGCCCUAUGGGUUGUAAACUGCUUUUAUAAGGGAAUAAAGUGAGUCUCGUGAGACUUUUUGCAUGUACCUUAUGAAUAAGGACCGGCUAAUUCCGUG